AGACGCCGUCCGAGAAGGUUACCUUAGCCAUUGAGUUAUGGCGGGGUACUUUCUUUCCUCACAUUUUUCAAUGUCUGGUGUGAGCUUCUUCAUUGCAUUACGUGCACGUGAUCGCUGCCUCGUCAUGGAGAGGGUCUCUACUGUUUUGCAAGACAAAUAAUACGUUGAAAAGAGGAAAUUUAAAAAGGUUUCCUUGUUCAGUUUAUGAGCUGUUUAUGGUGUUGUCUGGUGUUCACUUGAAAGAUGCCUUGAGAUGGAUGAUCAACUGCUGCUGAGCCUCUUCUCACAUCAUCGUCUUUGUGGACGUGGAGAAUGGAGACGCUGUCAGAGUCCGUUAAACUUGGCCAUUGCAGGCAACUUUCUCUCUUGACAUGGUAAUCAUAUGGGAUCAUGGCUUGUAACUUAAACUUGCAUGGUUAAUUGCUAAUGGUCUGCUGUUCAUUUUCUCCAAAAUGUCAUCUCUUGGUUUAUGUUGCACGUUUCGUCACAUUCAGUACUUUAGAAUAGUAAAAGCCAUAAUUUUGAUUAAUUUUGAAAUCUGAAGACUUGGUUUCUAAAUUAGAAUUCUAUUACUUCAUUUCUGAAAUUAAGUUUUUAUUUUUUUAUCAACAGUCUGGUGGGGUUUAAAAGCUUCUUUAUUGCGUUACGUGUACGUGAUCGUUGCCGUUUAAUGAAGUUUCUCCAAGAGGGUCUCUACUACAUUGCAAGACGACAUCGUGAUGGAAAUAGGAAAUCUAAAAUGAAAAAGUGAUAAUUUAAAUCAUGGAAAUCUUAAGUGUAUGAUCGCCUCAACUGUUAGGUUUCCAUGGUCAGCUUGAUGUUUGAGCUGGUUUGUUGUGGCUGUUAGGUGUGCAGUGAUUUUCCAGGAGAAAUACGUUCUAAAGGGACAAAGUGCCGCAACAAGUUGACAACAUGGCAAUAUUAUCACCGAGCCUGACGCCGUCUGCUAUGGAAACUGUCAGUCACGUUUUUCGUGAUUAUUGCGGUCAGCUUCAACAUUUUCUUCACAAAUGUCUCAAAGGAUUAAUGGUUUGGUGAGGCUGAGCCUUUUAAUGGUGGUCAAAAGUCCACAUGGACUUGUUAGCCAACUGGUGAAGGGUGUGGGGAAGUGCUGCAUGUUGUCUGUGGUGUUGGUCUGAAAUAUUAUCAUUGCUUCAACUAGUUUCCAUCGUCAGUAAGAAGCUAGAAAGUGUGUUGCUCUUUGGUUUGCAGUUCAUGUUUGGGUGCUUGUGUUGCAGCCAGCUGGUGAGAGGGAGUUCAAGUUGAGUUGAGCUGAAGCUUAAUGAACCAGUCAACAAUGAUAGUGUUUAAGAAAAGUGAAAGUGUUUAAGAAAAGUUAAAGUGAACUAUCAAUGAAGACAUCUUGAAAUGGACUUGGUGACAAUGUGAUUUUCAAUCUGCUACAUGCAGUUUUUGUUUUCAAUAAGUGGAGAAGUAAGACUAGAAGCAAAGCUGCAAGAAAAGGAAAUGGUCCCGGAGGAAAUGUGCAGUCGUUUCGCAGUCUGACUCCUGUUCAAGCUGUUCCUAUCCUAGACUGUGCUGGAAUCUUUGAAGUAGCUGAUCCUGAAGGUGUUAUGUUGGAGUUUUCUUGAAGAAACUGAUGUUGGUGUUAUCUACUUACUGUGCCAGUGCAACGUGUCGAUAAAAAUAUUAUAGCCAUAUAACAUGUGAUUGUAUUAACCUUAUGCUAUAUUGUUUUCUAAUAUGGCUUGUUGCAAACUGAUGCUGGGUUAAAAGUUGUGAUUUCUGAUUUUUCCCUCACCCCAUAUUUAUAAAUAAUUCCUGUGAUGUUGAGGCUAACUUGCAACAUUUCGUUGUGCGUUGAAAUUUAUUUUUUAUACACUUUCACAAUUAUGUAUAAAAUGUUAAAAUAAAUAAAAACCAAAAUUUUAUG